UGACGCACUUCCGGCUUUUGGGACGCUUUCCCUGGGCUCUGACGUCCAGAGGGCCUGUGUCUGAGUCCAGUGCCCCUGGUCCCCGAAGUCACAACUCCUCCUAUCCCAGGACCGCAGACUUCUCCGGGGGGGGGACAGAGUUGGACGUGCACUGCUGUGUCCUGCAAUCCCCUCCGCCCUGGACGGAGUGAAAGCGGGUCGCGCCAGCCUCGGCAGUGGCAAGCGCUGUCUUCCAGCAGAGGCGUCGCUGGGUACAGGAUAGUAAAACCUGAUCUUAUAAAACCUAGGUCACAAAGCACAGCCCUGCAAAACAGAUCCUAUUUGCAUCAAGUGAGCCAGUUCCUGGAACCUGAAUAAUGACUCCUGAAUCAAGGGAUACUAUACAUUUGUCUCCAUGGGGUACCCAGGAGAUAAAAGGCAUUGUGAUAGUGAAGGUGGAGGAGGAAGAGGAAGAAGACCAUUUUCAAAAGGAAAAAAACAAAGUAGAGUCAUCACCACAAGUUCUCAGUCGCUCUACAACUAUGAAUGAGAGAGCCUUAUUAUCAUCAUAUUUAGUUGCAUAUAGAGUGGCAAAAGAGAAAAUGGCUCACACAGCAGCUGAAAAAAUUAUCCUUCCAGCAUGUAUGGAUAUGGUACGUACAAUUUUUGAUGAUAAAUCAGCUGAUAAACUAAAAACUAUACCUCUUAGUGAUAAUAAAAUAUCUCAUCGAAUCUGUACGAUUGCAAAACAUUUGGAAGCAAUGCUUAUUACACGGCUGCACUCUGGUGUAGACUUUGCCAUCCAACUUGAUGAGAGCACCGAAAUUGCAAGUGGUCCAACACUCUUGGUUUAUGUCAGAUAUGUGUGGCAAGAUGAUUUUGUAGAGGACCUCUUACGUUGUUUAAACUUAAAUUCACACAUAACUGGAUUGGAUUUAUUUACUGAAUUAGAAAACUGCAUUGUUCGUCAGUAUAAAUUAAACUGGAAACACUGUAAAGGAGUUUCAAGUGAUGGAGCAGCAAAUAUGACUGGAAAACAUAGCACACUUAUUGAAAAACUGUUAGAAGCAACCCACAACAAUGCUCUUUGGAAUCACUGUUUUAUUCAUCGAGAAGCUUUGGUAUCCAAAGAAAUUUCACCAAGUCUAAUAGACGCAUUGAAAAAUGCAGUGAAAAUUGCUAAUUUUAUUAAAAGAAGUUCACCGAAUAGCCAACUUCUUGAAGUAUUUUGUUCAGAGAUUGGAGUUAACCAUACCCACUUAUUGUUUCAUAACGAAGUUCAUUGGCUUUCUCAAGGAAAAGUAUUGAGCCAAGUAUAUGAACUCAGGAAUGAGAUUUACAUUUUUCUCAUUGAAAAGCAAUCUCAUUUGGCAAGCAUUUUUGAAGAUGAUAUCUGGGUACCAAAAUUGGCAUAUUUAAGUGACAUUUUUAGCAUUCUUAAUGAAUUAAACCUGAAAACACAGGGGAAAAACAAUGAUAUAUGUCAGUAUCUUGAACAUAUUCUAGGAUUCCAAAAAACAUUAUUGCUGUGCCAAGCAAGACUUAAAAGUAAUUGCCCGAGCUACUAUAUGUUUCCAAUAUUCUUGCAACACAUUUAAGAGAACAUUAUUAAUGAAGACUGCUUAAAAGAAAUAAAGUUAAAGAUAUUGUUGCAUCUCACUUCUUUGUCUCAAACUUUUAAUUAUUACUUUGCAGAAGAGAAAUUUGAAUCAUUAAAGGAAAAUAUUUGGAUGAAAGAUCCAUUUGCUUUUCAAAACCCAGAAUCAAUAAUUCAGUUAAACUUGGAGCCUGAAGAAGAGAAUGAAUUAUUGCAGCUCAGUUCAUCAUUCACACUAAAGAAUUAUUAUAAGACAUUAAGUUUAUCAGCAUUUUGGAUUAAGAUUAAAGAUAAAUUUCCACUGCUAAGUAGGAAGAGUAUAUUGCUGUUACUACCAUUCACAACUACUUGUUUGUGUGAAUUAGGAUUUUCAAUCUUGACACGAUUAAAAACGAAGAAAAGAAAUAGGCUCAAUAGUGCACCAGACAUGCGGGUAGCAUUAUCUUCAUGUGUUCCUGACUGGAAGGAACUUAUGAACAGACAAGCACACCCAUCACAUUAAAUAAAAUUUUUAUAAAAUUUUGUGUUUAGCAGAGCAUGGGGUCUCACACCUGUAAUCCCAGCACUUUGGGAGGCCGAGGUGGGCAGAUCAUUUGAGAUCAGGAGUUCGAGAGCAGCCUGGCCAACAUGGUGAAACCGCAUCUCUGCUAAAAAUACAAAACUUAGCCAGGCAUGGUGGCGCAUGCCUGCAGUCACAGUUACUAGGGUGGCUGAGGCACGAGAAUCUCUUACACCAGGAAGGCAGAGAUUGCAGUGAGCUGAGAUGAUGCUACUGCAUUCCAGCCUGGGCAACAGUGAGAUUCCAUCUCAAAAAAAAAAAAAGAAAAUUGUGUCUGUACUUUUUAAGGGAUUUUGCAGUAUGUUGUAUUAAAAUGUUAAUAAAAUUACAUUUGCAAUUAA